rnacentral:rRNA from 1 species
GACGUAGGGCGCGAGCGUUGUCCGGAUUUAUUGGGCGUAAAGAGCUCGUAGGCGGCUUGUCGCGUCGACUGUGAAAACCCGCGGCUCAACUGUGGGCUUGCAGUCGAUACGGGCAGGCUGGAGUUCGGUAGGGGAGACUGGAAUUCCUGGUGUAGCGGUGAAAUGCGUAGAUAUCUGGAGGAACACCGGUGGCGAAGGCGGCAUUCUGGACUGCAACUGACACUGAAAGACGAAAGCCAGGGGAGCAAACGGG